rnacentral:rRNA from 1 species
GCAGUCGAACGGCAGCGCGGGAGCAAUCCUGGCGGCGAGUGGCGAACGGGUGAGUAAUACAUCGGAACGUGCCCAAUCGUGGGGGAUAACGCAGCGAAAGCUGUGCUAAUACCGCAUACGAUCUACGGAUGAAAGCAGGGGAUCGCAAGACCUUGCGCGAAUGGAGCGGCCGAUGGCAGAUUAGGUAGUUGGUGAGGUAAAGGCUCACCAAGCCUUCGAUCUGUAGCUGGUCUGAGAGGACGACCAGCCACACUGGGACUGAGACACGGCCCAGACUCCUACGGGAGGCAGCAGUGGGGAAUUUUGGACAAUGGGCGAAAGCCUGAUCCAGCCAUGCCGCGUGCAGGAUGAAGGCCUUCGGGUUGUAAACUGCUUUUGUACGGAACGAAACGGUCUUUUCUAAUACAAAAGGCUAAUGACGGUACCGUAAGAAUAAGCACCGGCUAACUACGUGCCAGCAGCCGCGGUAAUACGUAGGGUGCAAGCGUUA